AUGCUUCCGGGAGGGGAAGACGGCAAGCGGCGCGGCGCCACCGCCGACGCCGAGGCCGGCGCGAACGCGGCCGCCCUGAACGACCUCUGCGCCACCGCCGGGGACGCGGGGCGCCCCGUGCCCGCGCCGUUCCCGAGGCCGGCGGCCUUGGCGGUCGCGGCGCUGCUCGCGGUGGGGAUCGGGCUCGGCGUCCUCGUCCUCGCCGUCGUGCGCAGCCCCGUGCUGCUCGUGCUCGCGCUGGUGCUCUCGGCGGCCGUGUCCGCGUUCCUCCUGUGGAAUGCCGCGGCCGCGGCUUCCGGCCGCGUGCUGCGGCGGUUCGUCGACGGGCUCCCGGCCUCCAGCCUCCGCGCCGCCGCCGACGGCCAGCUCGUCAAGAUUACCGGCCUGGUUUCAUGUGGUGAUAUUUCGUUGAUUUCUUCAUAUGAGAAGGUGGAGAACUGUGUAUACACAUCUACGCUGCUAAGAAAAUGUGGUAGAUGGGGUUCUGAGGUGGCAAAUCCUAAAAAUAAUUGCUCCAGGUGGAAAUUGACACAUGCUGAGAGGUUUGCUGCUGAUUUCUACAUAACAGAUGCAAAAUCAGGUAAAAGAGCCUUGGUGAAAGCUGGGUACCACACGAAAGUUGUUCCAUUGAUCGAUGAAAAUGUUUUGGUUACAACAAGCAGAAGUACCGAUCUAUCUUCAACCUUGAAAUGUUGGCUACAAGAAAGAAAUCUUUCUUCUGAAGAAGCUCAGCUUAUCCGUCUUGAGGAAGGAUAUAUCACGGAAGGAAUGAAGUUGAGUGUGAUCGGAAUUUUGAGCAAGAAGAAUGGAGAUUUCAUGAUAUUUCCUCCCCGUGAACCUAUAUCUACAGGUUGUGUGUUGCUGUCAUUUCUCCUUCCAGCUUACUUUGAUGGAAUAGUUCUGAGACUAGUAGACAAGAGUUAUUUUAUGCCACAUUCUGGAAUUUCAUGA
rnacentral:rRNA from 1 species